rnacentral:rRNA from 1 species
GACGAACGCUGGCGGCGUGCUUAACACAUGCAAGUCGAGCGGUAAGGCCUUUCGGGGUACACGAGCGGCGAACGGGUGAGUAACACGUGGGUGAUCUGCCCUGCACUCUGGGAUAAGCUUGGGAAACUGGGUCUAAUACCGGAUAUGACYGCAUGCYGCAUGGUGUGUGGUGGAAAGAUUUAUCGGUGCAGGAUGGGCCCGCGGCCUAUCAGCUUGUUGGUGGGGUAAUGGCCUACCAAGGCGACGACGGGUAGCCGACCUGAGAGGGUGACCGGCCACACUGGGACUGAGACACGGCCCAGACUCCUACGGGAGGCAGCAGUGGGGAAUAUUGCACAAUGGGCGGAAGCCUGAUGCAGCGACGCCGCGUGAGGGAUGAAGGCCUUCGGGUUGUAAACCUCUUUCAGCAGGGACGAAGCGUGAGUGACGGUACCUGCAGAAGAAGCACCGGCUAACUACGU